rnacentral:rRNA from 1 species
AGAGUUUGAUUCUGGCUCAGGACGAACGCUGGCGGCGCGCCUAACACAUGCAAGUCGAACGAGCGAGGGAGAGUUUACUUUUUCGAGCGAGUGGCGAACGGGUGAGUAACGCGUGGGUAACCUGCCUCAUACAGGGGGAUAACAGUUGGAAACGGCUGCUAAUACCGCAUAAGCGCACAGUACCGCAUGGUACCGUGUGAAAAACUCCGGUGGUAUGAGAUGGACCCGCGUCUGAUUAGGUAGUUGGUGGGGUAACGGCCUACCAAGCCGACGAUCAGUAGCCGACCUGAGAGGGUGACCGGCCACAUUGGGACUGAGACACGGCCCAA